CCUACGUGAGGCAGCAGUGGGGAAUAUUGGGCAAUGGAGGCAACUCUGACCCAGCAACGCCGCGUGAAUGAUGAAGGUCUUCGGAUUGUAAAGUUCUUUUCUAAGGGAAGAAGAAAGUGACGGUACCUUAGGAAUAAGCCUCGGCUAACUACGUGCCAGCAGCCGCGGUAAUACGGAGGAUCCGAGCGUUAUCCGGAUUUAUUGGGUUUAAAGGGAGCGUAGAUGGGUUGUUAAGUCAGUUGUGAAAGUUUGCGGCUCAACCGUAAAAUUGCAAUUGAUACUGGCAGUCUUUAGUGGGCGAGAAGUAUGCGGAAUGCGUGGUGUAGCGGUGAAAUGCAUAGAUAUCACGCAGAACUCCGAUUGCGAAGGCAGCAUACCGGCGCCCAACUGACGCUGAAGCACGAAAGCGUGGGUAUCGAACAGGAUUAGAUACCCGUGUAGUC
rnacentral:rRNA from 1 species